rnacentral:lncRNA from 1 species
GUAUAAAAGAACACCUUGUAGUUUCACACUGCGAAGUAAAACAUGGAGCAAAAGUGAGUGUACUCUGCCCACCUCGAGGUGCCUGGCUUGCAUUUUUCUGUUGUUUUCUUUGGCCGCUCUCCUGUUUCCCACACAGAUACGGACUUAGCCCUUGCACCCGGGGACCAGAUAGAGGGUGUAGCUGUGUGUUUCCCAGGGUAGGAAAAUUUUCCUGGAUCAAGGAUUUUAAGAGCUUAAUACUACUCCGUGAAGUCCUGCUUUUUUGUACACUGAGCUGGUGCUCAGAGUGAGAAAUAGGAGCAGCACCUUGGUGUGUGAAGUGAAUGUGGCUUAAGGCAGCUGGCUCCCUGUGCCCCUCUCUUCACCUUCGGGGAGGAAACGUCAUCACCACAGAGCAUGAAUUUGCCCGUGGAGUCUUUCUUCCCUGCUCAUACCCAUGGCUGUGAGGGACCCCAGCUGACCACAG